CCCAUCCCCUAAAAUUCAACCACCACCACAUCCACCCAAAAAAGCACCUGUUUCUCUACCACCAUUAUCUAUACCACCUGUUUCACUUCCACCAUUACCAUUACCACCAGCUUCUAAACCACCAAAGGUAUCCCCAGCACCUGCAAAGGUUCCAAAAGCACCAGCACCGGCCAAAGAAGCACCAGCACCAGCACCUACACACAAAAAGAAAGCACCAGCACCCGCACCAGACAAAGAAACACCGGCACCAGCACCUACACACAAAAAGAAGAAAGCACCAAAAUCAUCACCUGUUCCUUCCCCAGCAAUUCUCCCACCAUCACCUGCACCAACACCUGCAAUAGACACACCAUCAUCAGCACCAGCACCAUCGCCUGAAGAUGAUGCGCCAGAACCACCGCCACCCCACAAGCACAAGAGAAGAAAACACAAGCAUAGUAAGCAUAAGAAACAUCACGCACUAGCUCUAGCACCAGAGCCUACAAGUUCAAGUUCAACAAUCAUUAGGAGGAGUCCCCCAGCACCACUGGCUGAUGAUAAUACUACAAUGAGUUC
rnacentral:lncRNA from 1 species